rnacentral:rRNA from 1 species
AUGGAAUCGGCGAACGAUACUCCAGAGCCGGUGGAGAAGGUGGAGACGGUGGCGGGGGAGGGGCAGGGAAGGGCGCGGGGGGAGACGCAGUCGGCGAACUUUACUCCAGCGCCGGCGGAGAAGGUGGAGACGGUGGCGGGGAAGGGGAAGGGGAAGCGGAAGAAGGGGAAGGGGAAGGGGACUAGGGGCGUCUUCUGCGGUCGAGGUAUCGAGUUGGGCAAUUGUGGACUGAUCUUGGUUCUUUUUGAGACGCAAUCUGGGUUUGCAAUUUUCACUUAUGAUGGUAUGAAUCUCCUCCUAGAUAAUGCAGUUGAGAAUAUCUGGGUAGAUUUCAUUGAGGGUUACUUGGCAAAAUCAAUGGUUUGGCUGAAAGAAUUUAAACGUCUUGAGAACGUGAGCAGCGCGAUCGACCCUGUUACCGGUGUUGACGAAGAUCUUGCUAUGACGAUCCGGAAAUACAUCGUUCCUGGGCAGCAACUAGCUGUUGGAAAGCCUGAAUAUAAAACCAUCAUUGAAGACAAGUUGGAAAUAUCCUGCCUGCAUGAUGAUGCGGUCAUGGAAUUGAUGUGGGGCCUUGGGAACUGCGUAGAGUAUCUAGUGCCUUCAGAAAAGUUGGAGCUGACUAUGGAGGGUCGCCUCCGUAUGAGUAAAGGAUUGAAAACUGUCCUGGAAAGUUAUGACUUACAAGUUGAACCAGAGAUGGUUAAUAAGCAUAUUAUUGAGACAGCAGGUGUUGUGUAUAGUUGUGACCAUUCUGUCAACAAACAUGGUAAGUCCUUGCGGGCUGCUGGUGAGCACCUUAAGAAGAUUUCAGACAUUGACUCGCAGGAUUGGUGUUUAAUUAAACUAGUGACUGCUCUCAAGUUAUUAUGUUACCCUACAGAGGAACUUCCUGGAAUUCCUCUUGAGGUUUUCUCAGCAGAGGAGUAUUCCAAGUUGGUGAAUGAUGGACCUAAAUACGAAGGUAAACUAUUGAAGGUGUCUUGCAAGACUGUCUUCAAAGAAAUGGUGUGGGCCCGUCGUCUGAGGAAUAGGAUGUUAAGACUCUUGGCCCAUUACGUGAGGGAGGCAAGAAAAGCAUAUGAAGAGGACCAAACUUUGAUGAGCAGCUGUGAGGGAGGCAAGAAAAGCAUAUGA